UCAUCUUUCUCUCUCUAAAUUCGGCCCUCACAAGUAAAAAAAUAAAGGAAGAAGAGCUCUCCAAUUUUUCUGCUCAAACCUUGCACCUAAUCCAUCAAAGUUCCUCAUCAACUUGUGGGUUUUCAUCCUAGCUAAGUGGAGGAGCUGAUUUUGUGGCUUUGAGGGUGGAUUGGGUGGUUGAUGGUGGUGAAAUUUGGGAAGGAAAAUUCUGAUUUUGUUAGGUUUCAUAGCUCCAAGAGGUGAUCCAGAGGACACCGAGAAGCUCUUUUAAUUUCUUGCUUUUGCUCUUGCUUUGCUCCGGAUUACGUUCUAUGCAGGACUCGAGAAGGAUAGUUACUCAAGCACAAGGAUUUGGAGUACCGUGGAUUAUCCUUUAUUUGGGUUGUGAUUGAUUUUCAUUGUGGAAUGUAAUGGUUAUUUUGAAAGAUUUGUGAACUUUAUGGUAUGAUGUACUUGUGGUUGAAGUGAAUGUAAAUCUCAUGAUAUUUUGGGGAUUAUACUUUUGUAAGAAUGAUUUGAAUUGCAAACAUAAGGAUUGUACUUAAGUUAUUAUUAUGAAAAUUUAGAUGAAGUAUUGGACUUGUA